rnacentral:rRNA from 1 species
AGCGAACGCUGGCGGCAGGCUUAACACAUGCAAGUCGAACGCCCCGCAAGGGGAGAGGCAGACGGGUGCGUAACACGUGGGAACUUACCCUUUGGUUCGGAAUAACUCGGGGAAACUCAAGCUAAUACCGGAUAAGCCCUUAUGGGGAAAGGUUUGCUGCCGAAGGCUCGGCCCGCGUCUGAUUAGCUUGUUGGUGAGGUAAUGGCUCACCAAGGCGACGAUCAGUAGCUGGACUGAGAGGAUGAUCAGCCACACUGGGACAGCAACACGGCCCAGAUUCGUACGGCAGGUAGCAGUGGGGGAUAUUGUACAAUGGGGGACACCCUCGUCCCGCGAUGCCGCGGGAGUUAUGAAGGGCUUAGGCUUGUAAAGCUCUUUUACCCCGGACGAUGAGGAUUGUAUCGGGCGAAUAAGCCCCGGCUAACUUCAUGCCAGCCGCCGCGGUAA